rnacentral:rRNA from 1 species
GAUGAACGCUAGCGGGAGGCCUAACACAUGCAAGCCGAGCGGUAUUGUUUCUUCGGAAAUGAGAGAGCGGCGUACGGGUGCGUAACACGUGUGCAACCUGCCUUUAUCUGGGGGAUAGCCUUUCGAAAGGAAGAUUAAUACUCAUAAUAUAUUGAACGGCAUCGUUUAAUAUUGAAAGCUCCGGCGGAUAGAGAUGGGCACGCGCAAGAUUAGCUAGUUGGUGAGGUAACGGCUCACCAAGGCGAUGAUCUUUAGGGGGCCUGAGAGGGUGGUCCCCCACACUGGUACUGAGACACGGACCAGACUCCUACGGGAGGCAGCAGUGAGGAAUAUUGGUCAAUGGGUGCAAGCCUGAACCAGCCAUCCCGCGUGAAGGACGACUGCCCUAUGGGUUGUAAACUUCUUUUGUAUAGGGAUAAACCUACCCUCGUGAGGGUAGCUGAAGGUACUAUACGAAUAAGCACCGGCUAACUCCGUGCCAGCCGCCGCGGUAAAAC